rnacentral:rRNA from 1 species
AUUCUGGCUCAGGAUGAACGCUAGCUACAGGCUUAACACAUGCAAGUCGAGGGGCAGCAUGUUGGUUGCUUGCAACCAAUGAUGGCGACCGGCGCACGGGUGAGUAACGCGUAUCCAACCUUCCCCUUAGUAGAGGAUAGCCCGGCGAAAGUCGGAUUAAUACUCUAUGUUCUUCAAUGCGGGCAUCUAAGUUGAAGCAAAGAUUUAUCGCUAAGGGAUGGGGAUGCGUCUGAUUAGGUUGCAGGCGGGGUAACGGCCCACCUGGCCUACGAUCAGUAGGGGUUCUGAGAGGAAGGUCCCCCACACUGGUACUGAGACACGGACCAGACUCCUACGGGAGGCAGCAGUGAGGAAUAUUGGUCAAUGGGCGCGAGCCUGAACCAGCCAAGUAGCGUGCAAGGACGACUGCCCUAUGGGUUGUAAACUGCUUUUAUCAGGGAAUAAAGUGAGGCACGCGUGCCUUUUUGUAUGUACCUGAUGAAUAAGGACCGGCUAAUUCCGUGCCAGCCGCAGC